UUCCCAGAAGGAAUGUGUUGCUGGG
rnacentral:piRNA from 1 species